CAUUUAAAUUAUAAUAAUCAUGCAUUUGCAAUUUUACAGUUAACUUUUUAAAUUAAAUUAGAAUAACCAUUAUCUAAUCUAUUAAUUUAUUAUUCGUUCGUCAGUUCAUGAGUCAAUUUAUGUUCUGUUCCUUUGACACUCUUAUUAGGUACCAUUUGGCUGGAGGAUAAACAUGGAAUAAAGGACUUUAUCCCCUUUAUUCUACAAAACGAAGUGAAAAAUGACUAUUUCUCUCUUAACGGGUUAUUCUAGAAUAAUCCGUUAAGAGAGGAGAACUACUAUUCUUCCCACCUCAUGGAAUAGCAGUUCUUGUUCUUUAUUCUUCCCUUUAAAUAAUAAUUUAUUUAUUAACUAUGAUAAUUGGUAUAUUAUAUUCUUAAUAAAUUAAAUUUUUAAAAUUUAAUUUUUAUCCAAACAUAAAAUUAAUUUUAUUUCUAUUUAUUCUAAGAGUUGUAUUUAUUUUUGGAAUAAUCU
rnacentral:lncRNA from 1 species